rnacentral:rRNA from 1 species
UACGUAGGUGGCAAGCGUUGUUCGGAAUUAUUGGCGUAAAGGGCGCGUAGGCGGUUCGUUAAGUCAGUUGUGAAAGCCCGGAGCUCAACUCCGGAGAGUCGACUGAUACUGGCGAGCUAGAGUACGGAAGAGGUAAGCUGGAAUUCCCGGUGUAGCGGUGAAAUGCGCAGAUAUCAGGAGGAACACCAAUGGCGAAGGCAGCUCGCUGGGACGGUACUGACGCUGGAGGCGCGAAAGCGUGGGGAGCAAACAGG